rnacentral:tRNA from 1 species
GGGCUGAUAGUUCAGUCCGGUAGAACGCUUCGUUCGCAACGAAGAGGCCGUGGGUUCAAAUCCCACUCAGUCCA